AUAUAAGAAGCAAAACACAUUGCAUUUAGUUUCGACCUAAAUUUACUGAUUAUAAUUAUCCUUAUAUU
rnacentral:tRNA from 1 species